UCGAGCGUCAUUACAACCCUCAAGCUCUGCUUGGCACUGGGCUCCGCGGCUUACCCCGCGGGCCUUAAAAUCAGUGGCGGCGUCCUCAGGCUCCGAACGUAGUACAUAUUCCUCGUUACGGAGUCCUGGCGGCGGUAGCCAUCAACCCCCAACUUUCCAAGUUUGACCUCGGAUCAGGUAGGGAUACCCGCUGAACUUAA
rnacentral:misc_RNA from 1 species